rnacentral:tRNA from 1 species
AGCCCCGUCGUCUAGUGGACAAGGAUAUCGGGCUUUGAACCCGGGGACUGGCGUUCGAAUCGCCACGGGGCUA